rnacentral:rRNA from 1 species
UACGGAAGGCAGCAGUGGGGAAUAUUGCACAAUGGGCGCAAGCCUGAUGCAGCCAUGCCGCGUGUAUGAAAAAGGCCUUCGGGUUGUAAAGUACUUUCAGUCGUGAGGAAGGUGUUAAGGUUAAUAACCUUAGCAAUUGACGUUAGCGACAGAAGAAGCACCGGCUAACUCCGUGCCAGCAGCCGCGGUAAUACGGAGGGUGCGAGCGUUAAUCGGAAUUACUGGGCGUAAAGGGCACGCAGGCGGUUAAUUAAGUUGGAUGUGGAAUCCCCGGGCUUAACCUGGGAAUGGCAUUCAAGACUGGUUAGCUAGAGUCUUGUAGAGGGGGUUAGAAUUCCAUGUGUAGCGGUGAAAUGCGUAGAGAUGUGGAGGAAUACCGGUGGCGAAGGCGGCCCCUGGACAAAGGCUGACGCUCAUGUGCGAAAGCGUGGGGAGCGAAAC